GAGGGUAUAGCUCAGUGGUAGAGUGCAUGCUUAGCAUGCAUGAGGUCCUGGGUUCAAUUCCCAGUAGCUCCU
rnacentral:tRNA from 1 species